CUCCUACGGGAGGCAGCAGUGGGGAAUUUUGGACAAUGGGCGAAAGCCUGAUCCAGCAAUGCCGCGUGAGUGAAGAAGGCCUUCGGGUUGUAAAGCUCUUUUGUCAGGGAAGAAACGGUGAAAGCUAAUAUCUUUUGCUAAUGACGGUACCUGAAGAAUAAGCACCGGCUAACUACGUGCCAGCAGCCGCGGUAAUACGUAGGGUGCAAGCGUUAAUCGGAAUUACUGGGCGUAAAGCGUGCGCAGGCGGUUUUGUAAGUCUGAUGUGAAAUCCCCGGGCUCAACCUGGGAAUUGCAUUGGAGACUGCAAGGCUAGAAUCUGGCAGAGGGGGGUAGAAUUCCACGUGUAGCAGUGAAAUGCGUAGAUAUGUGGAGGAACACCGAUGGCGAAGGCAGCCCCCUGGGUCAAGAUUGACGCUCAUGCACGAAAGCGUGGGGAGCAAACAGGAUUAGAAACCCGAGUAGUCCCA
rnacentral:rRNA from 1 species